rnacentral:rRNA from 1 species
AUCUACGGCCAUGCCACCCUGAACACACCUGAUCUAGGAAACUAAGCAGGGUUGGGCCUGGUUAGUACUUGGAUGGGAGAUUCUAACUCUUCCACAAUCAGCUGGAAAACACACCUCUUCGAUG